GUUCCAGGAGGAGGGCGCAUGGGGUGAGCUGAGGGUAGAAGGCUUUUGUUCCAAAGCCCCUCUGACCUGAACACACACACACUCAUAGCGUGCCCUGAAUCUGGCUCAGAAGCCGUCGCUCCGAAGAAGAGCAGCCUUCAGACUACCAAGCCGAGUAAUUCCUCAGAAUUGUCCCACGUUGUCCUAGAGAAGUCGUCUUUAUAGCCAUGGAGUAGGGUGUCUGCAGGCCUCCAGUCAAUUCCAACCGCCAAAGUUAAACGUUGCCAUUGCAGUUACUGUCGGACCAAAGUAACCCCUGAGAACUCUCCACAUUUGUAAAACGGACUGAAAGGUUCAGUGGCGUUUCCCACCUGGAACAGGACUAGGUAAUGCUUUGAACAUGAAGAGGUAUUAAUGGCCACUUGCCCUUUAAACCACAGAGGGACAGCUGAGCACAGUGACCUUCUAGCCCAACUUGAGAGAAGCAGGAAAUGGGGUCUGAGGCUGAAGGUUCAGAUGAUAAAAUGUCCCUCGGGAAGAUAACAAAAUGCUUCAUCCGAUGGUGGCCCAAGACGCCUCUUAAAAUCUAAGGAAAUAGUUUCCCUUUUAAAAAGCUGCUUUGUGGAAAUAACAAGUGAGAUCUUUUCCUGCUGUUUGUCUCUCUGCCUGAAUCCUGACAUAUUUUCUCUCACAGAUGUCAAUCUUUAGCUAAAAGUCUAUAAAUGAUAUUUCUUUUAAUAGUCCUGAAACAUAAACUACUGUUGCCUCCAACUCUUUCUAGGUUCCCAGAAUGUUUCCAUGGUUUUAUUCUAUUACAAAGUUUGAAACUUUAGUAAUAUUAAGAAAAUCCAUUAUCCACAU
rnacentral:lncRNA from 1 species